rnacentral:lncRNA from 11 species
CCUGAAGCCAAAAUCUGUGAUGCAACAGAGAGGCCGACAAGGUUUAUCAAGCCCAUUGACUUCUGCCCCUUUCUUUUCAUUCACAGAGGAACCAAUGACACUGUGCAAGCUCCCUUCCAGCCCUUUCAGAAAAUUACUUACAGAUAAUAUGAGAAGAUCAAUAAAGGAUGGUGAUCAGUGUUUGGCUCCUCCACUGCAUGUGAUAAC